AUGAUCUCGCGCAAUAGCGGGCAAACGGAACCUAGUGCCAUUUCCAGCUUCUGCGUGAGCGAAGCCUCGCGCGAGGGCGUCGGAACAGCUUAAGCUAGCCACGUACUACGUAAUCCACACCACCCUAUAUUUCCUAAUCCAUUCGAUCCUCUAUUUCCUAAGCAGUAAAUCGAAUGAAAAUCCAAACUCAUCGGCCUACCAAUCCGCAAUCCCAUCAAGUCAGCGACGCGGCGGAUCGAAGAAAUUACCAGCCUCCCAGUCGGCAUUCGUAUGCGUCGCGACGACUCGAGAUAUCCUCUCGAAGAGGUUCCUCGAGAGCGGAAUUGGACCGCGAGGGUUUGCCACGCAAGCAAUCCGCCAGCUUGGACUAAUACCCCGGUUGCCUGGCGUCUCGACGCCGUCGGCUGACGGUCCUCGAACCCGCAUCAGUGUAGUGUAGCCAAAGAAGAAGCCGAAAAGGAAACCGCCACCAAGACCGGCUAGCUGACCACAAAGAAGCCCAUUAGAAGGAAAUGGGUCAAUUAGCCAGAUUCGCAUCCUGUCCUGCGAGCACAACACAAGGUGGCAAAAGGGUACACAUAUUGCUCGGUGCUCGCUAUCCCUCCAGCCGAGAUACCGCACGGGGCACGAAGGGUGAACGAGAUGAGGAACGACAGAAGCUUGACGUCACGCGAGGCACCCUUCGAGGUUUCACCGCCACGGGGAAGGUCGAGUGUGUGCGACAGAGAGGCAACGAAGUGAGACGGAGGCGGAGUAGUAGCUCGCCUUAAUUGGGGACGAGUGGAGGCUCGUAAUUUCACAUCGCAACGCGAGGGCAGCCGGUGGCUAGGCGCCAGUAAUUUGUAAUCCGUAUGCUUAGACACCGACUACGCUCCUGUCACACCGGGAUCAGGGUAUUAACGGAGGAUGGAAUCGCGCGUGCCGGAACAUAACCGGUUAAACCGUGUAGAAUCGACGCGGUUCAAUUUGCGGGAAAUGGGGGACAGAUUCGAAAUUCUACGCGUACAACGAGAUUCUUAAUGCCGUAAGGUAGAGCUGGCUAAAACUAUUGAAAACUGUUUGAAAUUUUGUACAAAAUUAAUACAGCUAGGACAUGGAUUUCUAAUAUAGAAAUGUGUUGUAUUUGUAGCUGUUUCUUUUUAAGCCCGAUUAUAACUAAUAUAAUCACUAACUUAACAUCAAAUAGUUCAAACUUCAAACACCUUGGAAUUUUGUUAGAUAUUUAAUCAAUCUUUUUUUACAUUUUCCUCUAUUGUAUUAUGAAAUAGAUAAUCCUUUAACAUAGAUUACAAAUGCUCCUUUGAAUACGUAUGAUCGAAAUUUGUAUCUCUUCGUAUAAUCUACAGAACAUCGAAAGAACAAUAACGCAUCGUGUAAUCGGUUUUAUGAUCCAAUAGAUUUUUUAGAAUUUUGGUACCACUGUACAAGGAUACCGUUCGUAACUCCGCGUCGCGUUAUUCCCAGUUAGAAUUGAAACUCGUUCGAUCGUGCCUGCAGCUUGUUUACCUCGACCAGAGGAUGAAAAAUCGCUAUGGAAACGAUUUUCGAACGAUCGGCUCGAAAUAAAAUUGAUAACGUCGGACACGCGUGACGAUUAAUUUGUCCUGUCUCUUCGAGUUUUUUCUUCUUUUCCGACUUUUUUCAUGAUGGUUAACGAGAUAGGCGCAAACGUUCGUUCCACAAACAAUAGAACAUCUGCACAUUGAUACGAUUAUAGAGGAGGGUUCCAACAAACAAUUGAUUUCCCAAAUUCUCCUUAAUCAAACGUCAGUAAUAAUUAAAAGAACUCAAAAUCGGAACAGAGUUGCAGUUUUGAUUAAUAAAUUAUAUUAGCGGGUACAACGGCGAUUGCGUUUACAAACUUUUUCCUCGCUUACUCAAACUCUUAAUUCUUGAAGUUCGAGCCACGUGACGGGACGCGACGUUUCUUGAAGUUGAAGCAAAUAUACUUUGGAGACUGGAAACCGGACGAGAGUUUCAAGUUUCAUGAAAUUCGAGUUUCCCUAGCCUUUCAAAGCUGUGCGCUUUUCUCGAAUUUAAGGAAACGUGGCAGUUAUAUUGUACAUACACAUGUAUGUUUAAUCUAGGGGAUGUAUACGACCAGAUACGAAUCUGGAAAGUACUAUGAAAGUACUGGAUUAUGCUCUUCCUAUUUGAAAGAAAUUCGUUCUCGGAUCUGUGUAAUCUCGCUUAAGACCGUGCGCGGAAUUGUAAGCUUUGACCGUUAUACUUUUUACAAUCUCUCAAAGCUUUCCAGUUAUACUUUCAAAGCACACGCCGAGAGGAAAUGAUUAAAAAAAGGUACAUAGGAUUAUCGAUGAAAAUUUGUUUCCAUUAAUAUUUGUAUCCUGUUAGUAAAAAAGUUUUCUCAGAGUGUCCAACAUGAUUGAUAUUUCUCUUUGAGAACGUACAUGAAUUUCUAGUUAUAAAACUAACGGAUCGUUAUUGCUUUGAUUUC